GAAGACGUGUGCCUGCGCAGAGGCGCGAGCUCGGAGCUCAUACCUUUGCGGGAGUCUGCGCGGGACUGCGGGGCGGAGAUGUCCAUCGGGCUAGGGGCAGGCACCCGGCAGCCCCGCCGCUCUCGGCGGCGAGGAGAGCACGGCACGUGGGCCGGCUGCCGGGCAUCGCCCGCCCGGAGCGGGGGGCGCUAUGUGGGGCCUGACGCGGCGGCGUCACCUCAGCGACCAGCCAACGCUCGCCAGAGCCCGUAAAUCCCGCGAGAACGAGCGCCUCUGCGCUCCAUCGCUCGCCUCCCUCCAGAUAUCGCGAGAAGAUGGACUAGCCUUUCAGCGGGCGGAAGCGGCUUCCCUUCCAGACGAGGUCAGCCUCGCGCAGUUCGCGAACGUCCCAAAUAUCGCGAGAUUUGGCAUUAGUCGGCGACCUCGACCCUCUUCGCUGAGGGAGUCCACGACCUGAGGUGUGUGACAUCCUCCCAGGGCGGAAAAAGACAGUGUGAGCCCUGCACAGACCAUUGACACUGUGGUGGCCUUGUCGUCUAGGAGCUUCAGGAGGCGAGCCUUAAGAGGGCGUUUUCUUGGGUUUGCCUACUUUAUCGUAACUCACUCGUGCACAAACAAGGCAACCCCUGGGGUUCGGUUUUCUUCGCCAUCUGAGAAGAGCAGCGACUGUGCCUCGCCCUGAGAGAGAAGCACACACCACGCAGCCUGCUGCCUCCAGCACAGCGUUCUGCGCACGAGCUGAAUGGAUUUUGCCUGUCCCAACAUCUCCUGAACAAGCUCGUGAAGCCAAAUGUAUUCUUCAUGUCGAAUUCUUGUGAUUUUUUUUUUUUUUAGGCCACUGUGCCUGUGUACGGGUCUCGUAGAGCUAAAAAUCCAGAAGUCAGAGAAAUUGCAUUCCUUCCUAGAAAGUGGAAGAAUCUCCACUCCUUGGCUUGACCUCUUUCUUCAAAGCCAAGGAUAGUGCAUUUCCUGAGCCUUCCACAAUGGGUUUGGGUUUUGGGGGGGUUUGUUUGUUUGUUUGUUUGUUUGUUUUGAGCUCACCAGAAUAAUCUUAUUUUCAGGUGUACACUCAUAACUACAUCAGAAAAGGCCCCUUGACAUGUAAGAUAACAUGUAUGGGUUCCUGGAUUUAGAGACACAAAUUCCUCUUGGGGAUCAUUAUCCUGCCUACUGGAGGAUCUUAUUUGUAUAUACUAUAUGCCUAUUCAACAAAGAGAUCUCCAUUCUUUGCAGAUACUACUAAGACUAGUAGACUAUUUUCAAAGGAGUGCUAUAUUAAGAGUGUCACUUGUUUGCAAAGCAAUAGGAAAAGCUUUAUAAAGAGAAACAUUUAGGAAUAUUGAUUUAGCUAGUAACAACAGCCUGAAUAAAGGGGAGUAACUGCAAAAAAUAAAGAGUUAAAUAAAUUUUGGGGGGAGGCAGGGAUUUUGAGACAGGCCUUCUCACUGCGUAGCCCUAGCUAUCCUAGAACUCAUUCUGUAGACCAGGCUGGCCUUUGCCUGUUGGUUUAAGAUGUAAGGCCUUACUGAAACUACAAGUGAUUUGAUAAAUCCAAAAUAAACAUUGAAAUGAAAGAAAUCACCUUGUUAAAGGAAUAUCCUUCUAGCUAACAAGACGACUCCUCACCUUUGAGUGUCUCUUAUGUAACUGCAUUGCCAUGAUUGUCCUGUUUAAUGAAAUGGGAACAGUCAUAACAUGAACAUGUCUUAAAGGUUAAGCAUCCUGCCCUUAGGGUAGCUUUUGUUCUUGUCGGUUGCCUGUCAUCCUCUUGUGUGGAUGCUGAUGUUGUAAACCUCCAACACUAGGAUGCCAGUUACUUCAAGGUGAAAUUGUGAUAUAUUUCUGAAGUCAGUAUAAGUGUUGUUGGAUUGACUAUAUUGCAUGCAAAACCACUGACAAUUGAUAACACAGCAAACAUUAAGACAAUUUAGACUACAAAAAUAUAACUGUAGUAUAGCAUGUUUGAUAUGCAUGAGACCCUAGGCUCAACAUCUAGCACCCAAUAACAGUCAUGAUAAGCAUUUCAAAAGAAUUUUACUUGGAUGCCAAAGAGACUUUUAAUAUAAUUAACCCUGCAAUACUUUAUUAAAAUUGGUUUCUACUUAUGUUCACAACAUAAAAGGCAAAUAUAUAUUAUGUGAUAAAUCUUUAAAAUAAUGGAUUUAUUGAGUUCGAGGCCAGCCUAAUCUACAAAUUGAGUUCCAGGACAACAGCCAGGGCUAUACAGAGAAACCCUGUCUCGAAAAUGCC
rnacentral:lncRNA from 1 species